AGAGAAUCGCUUGAACCCAGGAAGCAGAGGUUGCAGUGAGCCGAGAUCGCGCCAUUGCACUCCAGCCUGGGGGACAAGA
rnacentral:snRNA from 1 species